GACGAACGCUGGCGGCGUGCUUAACACAUGCAAGUCGAGCGGUAAGGCCCUUUCGGGGGUACACGAGCGGCGAACGGGUGAGUAACACGUGGGUGACCUGCCCUCAGCUCUGGGAUGAGCCCGGGAAACUGGGUCUAAUACCGGAUAUGACUCCAUGACGCAUGUUGUGGGGUGGAAAGCCUUGUGCGGCUGAGGAUGGGCCCGCGGCCUAUCAGCUUGUUGGUGGGGUGANGGCCUACCAAGGCGACGACGGGUAGCCGGCCUGAGAGGGCGACCGGCCACACUGGGACUGAGACACGGCCCAGACUCCUACGGGAGGCAGCAGUGGGGAAUCUUGCGCAAUGGGCGAAAGCCUGACGCAGCGACGCCGCGUGAGGGAUGACGGCCUCGGUGU
rnacentral:rRNA from 1 species